GACGAACGCUGGCGGCGUGCUUAACACAUGCAAGUCGAACGGAAAGGCCCUGCUUUUGUGGGGUGCUCGAGUGGCGAACGGGUGAGUAACACGUGAGUAACCUGCCCUUGACUUUGGGAUAACUUCAGGAAACUGGGGCUAAUACCGGGUAGGAGCUCCUGCUGCAUGGUGGGGGUUGGAAAGUUUCGGCGGUUGGGGAUGGACUCGCGGCUUAUCAGCUUGUUGGGGGGGUAGUUGCUUACCAAGCCUUUGACGGGUAGCCGGCCUGAGAGGGUGACCGGCCACAUUGGGCCUGAGAUAGGGCCCAGACUCCUACGGGAGGCAGCAGUGGGGAAUAUUGCACAAUGGGCGGAAGCCUGAUGCAGCAACGCCGCGUGCGGGAUGACGGCCUUCGGGUUGUAAACCGCUUUCGCCUGUGACGAAGCGUGAGUGACGGUAAUGGGUAAAGAAGCACCGGCUAACUACGUG
rnacentral:rRNA from 1 species